CCGUGUUUGGCUCGCACUCCUUCCGUUUCCGCUCCUCUCCGGUGGGUCGUGGAUAGCGCGGAAGAGCUACCUCUGUAGCCGCGGCGUGGUUGUGCAACAGCCAGCGCCUCCUCUAAUUUUCCCCCCUCGUACGCAGCGUGACUGACUGCUGGCGGGGGAUCGCUCCGCCGGGGGACCUUCGGGGUGCAGUUGCGGGUCUGCUUUCUGGACUCAUCUACGGCUGGGGGAGACUCCCACCCUCCGGGUUGCUGUGACGGUGCCUUGGCUUGCAGGGUGAGGCCCUGCUCCUUCGUCGGCCGUCAUUGGCCACCACGUCUCAGACGGACCUGCUGUUUUGGCUUUACCGGAAAUUGCACUAUCCUAACUCACACUUUUAAUGAACUGUGGCAGCUGAUAGGAGCACGGCUCCACAGUUGGAGACUGCCCGGGCUCAGGACCAAUUCUGUGUGUUCUUGGAGUAUUGUCUCGUGCACUGUGGCUCUCCACGCUACACCUUCACGGCGCGUGGAGUGAUCACCACAAAGGGACGCCUAGUCUUUUAGCAACCUUUUAAAUACUGUUUAUAUUGGUGCUGUGGGCCAGGCGCGACCAAUUCCUGGUGGCGGGUUUUCUUCACAACCCGUUUUGUUGGUUUGCUGUGUCACGGGUGGCGAGUUUAUUAAUUUAAUAACCUUCGAUUUUUCACUAUCAGAAUAUAUGCCACUAAUAAUGAACUCAUUUUCAAGAU